GGAUGAAGAACGUAGUGAAAUGCGAUAAGUAAUGCGAAUUGCAGAAUUUCCGUGAGUCAUCGAAUCUUUGAACGCACAUUGCGCCCACUGGUAUUCCGGUGGGCAUGCCUGUUCGAGCGUCAUUAUCCUCCCUCAAACCUCGGGUUUGGUGUUGGACCCAAGUUGUGUGAACAACUGGUCUCAAAGACAAUGACGGCGUCCGUGGGACCCUCGGUGCAACGAGCUUUUAGGAGCACGCGUCGAGUUUCAAGGACCUUCCGGGCCGGUCUCCUUUACUAUUUUUACAAGGUUGACCUCGGAUCAGGUAGGAAUACCCGCUGAACUUAAGCAUAUCAAUAAGCGGAGGA
rnacentral:misc_RNA from 1 species